CCUCCGUAUUUUAUGGUAUGACUGAACUCUCUGAGCUUGAAAAAAUACACAUAUAUCUAUUUUAUAUUGUCUCGUGACUUACACCGUAAGUGAUGUAUUCAACGACGGUAGUGGCUAGUUCUCUUUCUUAGCUUCGGCCGCUGGUACUUUAGUGAGCAGCGUCGUUGACCUAACGACUGUCACUGUAUCACGUCUGUCUCAUGGACCGGUGAUUGUUGCAUGUUUCGGUUUUGACAACGUGGAAUCAGAUCUUCUUUGAUAUGAGAUUUGUGUUCGGUUCUUCAAGACUUUUCUCGGACUCGAAGAUAAUGGGUUUGCUUCCGCCAUGAUGUAUUAAUCAAGAAUGGCUAUAAAUAUGUCCCAGUCUUUCGUGAUUGAACUCAAACAUAUUGGUUAAUGCUUUAAACGUCGAGUUUCAAUGUGUGUUGCGGUUUGUGUACCGACGCCAUGUUCUAUUGGAUUUGUUUCGAUGGUUUGACUCGAAAGGAAAAUUAUAGCUUGUUGUUGUUUUGCAAAAAGUUUAUGGAUCUUAAAUCGCUUUUGUGUUGACAGACGAUUCAUACGCCAUUUAGUUUCUCCAUUCAUUAUGUUUGAUUUGGAGUGUGGGACUCGAAAUGGUCGUUUAGCUUGUUUCCCUUUGUUGCAGGGAGAUGAUGGUACAUAGACUCGCUUUCGUGUCGACGAACGGUACAAUCACUGCACUAGAGACCUUUGAUUCGUUUUAUGAUUAAUUAGAGGGUGAUCCACUUGUGUUGUGUUUUUCCUGUCUGGGGUCAACUUAUACUUUUGUGUGAAUUUACAUGGUUAGGUUUAUUUUUAUUUUUUUAGGGAUACUGGGUUAGGUUUAUGUCCCCCUAAUUUUAUCUUUUUUUUUAUGUAUGUAUUUUCCCCCUUUAAUAAUAUUAUAUAUGAGCAAUUGAUAAAAAAUUAAAGCAGGAUACCAACUUAGUUGGCCACUAUUCUUUUUAUGUCAUUUUGCUCUUUACUUAUAAAAAAAAAAAUAAAAAAAUUAAGCGACCUUGUAUGACUAUUUGCACUA